GAUGAACGCUGGCGGCGUGCCUAAUACAUGCAAGUCGAGCGAACAGACGAGGAGCUUGCUCCUCUGACGUUAGCGGCGGACGGGUGAGUAACACGUGGAUAACCUACUUAUAAGACUGGGAUAACUUCGGGAAACCGGAGCUAAUACCGGAUAAUAUAUUGAACCGCAUGGCUCAAUAGUGAAAGACGCUUUUGCUGUCACUUAUAGAUGGAUCCGCGCCGCAUUAGCUAGUUGGUAAGGUAACGGCGUACCAAGGCAACGAUGCGUAGCCGACCUGAGAGGGUGAUCGGCCACACUGGAACUGAGACACGGUCCAGACUCCUACGGGAGGCAGCAGUAGGGAAUCUUCCGCAAUGGGCGAAAGCCUGACGGAGCAACACCGCGUGAGUGAAGAAGGUCUUCGGAUCGUAAAACUCUGUUAUUAGGGAAGAACAAAUGUGUAAGUAACUAUGCACGUCUUGACGGUACCUAAUCAGAAAGCCACGGCUAACUACGUG
rnacentral:rRNA from 1 species